CUUCAAUUUGUAAAUCCAAACGAACUGUGUCUCUGAGCUGCUUUACCUCGCACUAGGACGCCAUCCCACCGCUUGCCACCAAUGUAACGGAUCGCCUGGCACCCCGACUGGGUACCUCCGUUGAAGGAUGCUCCUAGCGCUUCCUGAGGACUCCAAGCACUCUGGCAGACACCACAAUCACCGAACCGGAGAAACAAAUAAAUUCUCCCAAGCAUAUGAAUGCUGUAGACAGUUGAAUAGGAACCAUACGAAUAGGUUUACUCUCCUAGCAGUCAAACUGGAACAGCAUACAAUAAAUCCUUCCCCCAAUAAUGAGACGACACUUCACUUUGAGGGUUAAAACAGGAACUCCCUGUACUGUCACAUACAGUCUCUUUUAUUCCCAAUCCACAAACAUAGUACAGCCCACAGGGCGUUACAAAACAACCAAUCAAUCCG